UACGUAGGGUGCGAGCGUUAAUCGGAAUUACUGGGCGUAAAGCGUGCGCAGGCGGUUGAUAAGUCAGAUGUGAAAUCCCCGGGCUCAACCUGGGAACUGCAUUUGUGACUGCAUCGCUGGAGUACGGCAGAGGGGGAUGGAAUUCCGCGUGUAGCAGUGAAAUGCGUAGAUAUCGGGAGGAACACCAGUGGCGAAGGCGACUACCGUGGCCUGUUCUUGACGCUGAGGCGCGAAAGCUAGGGAGCAAACGGG
rnacentral:rRNA from 1 species